rnacentral:rRNA from 1 species
AUUGAACGCUGGCGGCAUGCCUUACACAUGCGAGUCGAACGGCAGCGCGGACUUCGGUCUGGCGGCGAGUGGCGAACGGGUGAGUAAUACAUCGGAACGUACCCUGUUGUGGGGGAUAACUAGUCGAAAGAUUAGCUAAUACCGCAUACGACCUGAGGGUGAACGUGGGGGACCGCAAGGCCUCACGCAGCAGGAGCGGCCGAUGUCUGAUUAGCUAGUUGGUGGGGUAAAGGCCCACCAAGGCGACGAUCAGUAGCUAGUCUGAGAGGACGAUCAGCCACACUGGGACUGAGACACGGCCCAGACUCCUACGGGAGGCAGCAGUGGGGAAUUUUGGACAAUGGGGGCAACCCUGAUCCAGCAAUGCCGCGUGUGUGAAGAAGGCCUUCGGGUUGUAAAGCACUUUUGUCCGGAAAGAAAUCGCGCUGGUUAAUACCUGGCGUGGAUGACGGUACCGGAAGAAUAAGCACCGGCUAACUACGUG